rnacentral:rRNA from 1 species
CUUUUGGAGAGUUUGAUCCUGGCUCAGGACGAACGCUGGCGGCGUGCCUAAUACAUGCAAGUCGAGCGGACCAAAGCGGAGCUUGCUCUGAUUUGGUCAGCGGCGGACGGGUGAGUAACA